rnacentral:rRNA from 1 species
UACGGAGGGUGCAAGCGUUGUCCGGAUUUAUUGGGUUUAAAGGGUGCGUAGGUGGUUUUUUAAGUCUGGUUUGAAAGCAAGUGGCUCAACCAUUUGAUGUGGCUGGAAACUGGGGAACUUGAAUGGAUUGGCGGUAGCCGGAACGGGUCAUGUAGCGGUGAAAUGCAUAGAUAUGACCCAGAACACCGAUUGCGAAGGCAGGCUACUACGAUUUGAUUGACACUGAGGCACGAGAGCAUGGGUAGCGAACAGG